UGCGUAGGUGGUCAGGUAAGUCGGAUGUGAAAUCUCGGAGCUCAACUCCGAAACUGCAUUGGAAACUACCUGGCUCGAGGAAUGGAGGGGGGACUGGAAUUCUCGGUGUAGCAGUGAAAUGCGUAGAUAUCGAGAGGAACACCAGUGGCGAAGGCGAGUCCCUGGACAUCUCCUGACACUGAGGCACGAAAGCUAGGGGAGCAAACA
rnacentral:rRNA from 1 species